GCAGAUACACACAAGUACAGUCACACUUACGAAACAGCAUUUUACUUGUUUUUGGGGAAAAACAUUGAUGUGCUUAGUGGCAAAACCCACCGCAUUUUGCCAUAUUCAGAAGUAAUUACCACCCAACCAAUCUCAACAACCACUCAUUCUGAGCAGGGUCACAGUGAGCCAGAGCCUAUCCUGGAGACACUGGGCACAAGGGGCAGGAGGGCACACACACUGGAUGGGACGCCACGCCAUUGCAGGGCCACAACUAGGUACCCAGGCACACAGCCGGGUGAAGGUACUGGAGCAAUUGCAGGGCAGGCACCUCCCUCAAGGAUGCUACAGCUGGAGAUAGAGAUUGAACCGGCAACCCUCAGAACCAAAGGCAGCCACUCCAACCGUGACGCCACCAGCCACCCCCAGCGAUCGCCACAGGGGUAUGUCCAGAUCCGCAGCUCUGCUCUGCAUGUGCCCAGGAUGCUGGAAAGCAUGUACAUCACCGUGAUGAUCAUCUGGAGAGCUGAGAUAAAGCACUGGAGGAGAACAGCUGCAGGGCAGAGUGCAUUCUACAGAGCUGGCCUUGAAUUUCAGAGGAUGGAGAGAGAAGCACAGAAGAGGCAAAGUGUCUCCAUGUCCCUGCAGAGCCCACUAAGUAGACAGACCAGUAUGCACAGUGAAGCUAACAGAGAAACUGGCCCUCAUUCAGGGAAGGGGAGGAUAUGGUUUCCAGCCAAUCAGACUGUCUGUAUUCACAUUCCUGUUAGUUUGAGCACAAAGGGCCCGUGGUUUAUUAUUAGUCAGAAUUAUAACAACUAACAAGCUGUUUGCCUGAAUUAUGUUGCAACACAAUUACACUGGAUCACUUUGUACAGUGCAACAGGUCGGCAUCUACCAACAUGUGAGAAAUAAAUGUAAUUAACAAGGGUGAGAACA
rnacentral:lncRNA from 1 species